AUACAGCGAAACUGCGAAUGGCUCAUUAUAUAAGUUAUCGUUUAUUUGAUAGUACCUUACUACUUGGAUAACCGUGGUAAUUCUAGAGCUAAUACAUGCUAAAAAUCCCGACUUACGAAGGGAUGUAUUUAUUAGAUUAAAAACCAAUGCCCUUCGGGGCUCACUGGUGAUUCAUAAUAACUUCUCGAAUCGCAUGGCCUUGCGCCGGCGAUGGUUCAUUCAAAUUUCUUCCCUAUCAACUUUCGAUGCUAGAGUAGUGUUCUAGCAUGGUUACAACGGGUAACGGAGGGUUAGGGCUCGACCCCGGAGAAGGAGCCUGAGAAACGGCUACUACAUCCAAGGAAGGCAGCAGGCGCGCAAAUUACCCAAUCCCGACACGGGGAGGUAGUGACGAUAAAUACUGAUACAGGGCUCUUUUGGGUCUUGUAAUUGGAAUGAGUACAAUUUAAAUCCCUUAACGAGGAACAAUUGGAGGGCAAGUCUGGUGCCAGCAGCCGCGGUAAUUCCAGCUCCAAUAGCGUAUAUUAAAGUUGUUGUGGUUAAAAAGCUCGUAGUAGAACCUUGGGCCUGGCUGGCCGGUCCGCCUCACCGCGUGCACUGGUCCGGCCGGGCCUUUCCCCCUGUGGAACCUCAUGCCCUUCACUGGGUGUGUGGGAAAACAGGACUUUUACUUUGAAAAAAUUAGAGUGCUCCAGGCAGGCCUAUGCUCGAAUACAUUAGCAUGGAAUAAUAGAAUAGGACGUGUGGUUCUAUUUUGUUGGUUUCUAGGACCGCCGUAAUGAUUAAUAGGGACAGUCGGGGGCAUCAGUAUUCAAUUGUCAGAGGUGAAAUUCUUGGAUUUAUUGAAGACUAACUACUGCGAAAGCAUUUGCCAAGGAUGUUUUCAUUUAUCAGGAACGAAAGUUAGGGGAUCGAAGACGAUCAGAUACCGUCGUAGUCUUAACCAUAAACUAUGCCGACUAGGGAUCGGACGAUGUUAUUUUUUGACUCGUUCGGCACCUUACGAGAAAUCAAAGUGCUUGG
rnacentral:rRNA from 1 species